CUGAAACCAAGUAAAUAUACUGUGUUCUUUUCUCUGUGGAGUCCAGUGUAAAUAAGAGCAAACAGCAGCUUCCUUGGUCAUAUGGACAGUAAUUAGCUUGUGUUGAUUUCCCUAAGUCACCUUGGAGAUAGCU
ensembl:snoRNA SNORA70 Small nucleolar RNA SNORA70